CUGGCGGCAGCCUACACAUGCAAGUCGGACGGUAGCACAGAGAGCUUGCUCUCGGGUGACGAGUGGCGGACGGGUGAGUAAUGUCUGGGGAUCUGCCCGAUAGAGGGGGAUAACCACUGGAAACGGUGGCUAAUACCGCAUAACGUCGCAAGACCAAAGGGGGGGACCUUCGGGCCUCUCACUAUCGGAUGAACCCAGAUGGGAUUAGCUAGUAGGCGGGGUAAUGGCCCACCUAGGCGACGAUCCCUAGCUGGUCUGAGAGGAUGACCAGCCACACUGGAACUGAGACACGGUCCAGACUCCUACGGGAGGCAGCAGUGGGGAAUAUUGCACAAUGGGCGCGAGCCUGAUGCAGCCAUGCCGCGUGUAUGAAGAAGGCCUUCGGGUUGUAAAGUACUUUCAGCGGGGAGGAAGGCGACGGGGUUAAUAACCGCGUCGAUUGACGUUACCCGCAGAAGAAGCACCGGCUAACUCCGUGCCUGCAGCCGCGGUAUU
rnacentral:rRNA from 1 species